rnacentral:lncRNA from 1 species
GCGGACAUUGCCUUUGUAGGGGACAUUGGGAUCCUUGUGCUUUCUCUGCGAUGGCUUCCUGUCACUCUCAGUUCUAGUUCUGGGCACUGAACCCAAGGCAUAAGACUCUCCCUGCAAGCAUCUUAACAAGUUAGCCCAUCUUGCCAGUCCUGGUUUCUUAAUGGCUGAACAUGUGUACAGUUAUUUUUCAUUGGCAAAGUAUUCAAGGAAACUCAAAGAUGAUUGUGUUACGGGUAUACACGACACCCGACCCAUGGAAGGAACAUGAGGUUUGCAAUUUACCAAGCAGUCACCAUGGAUAGAGCAAACCUAUGAAGUGUCUGCAUUUGCCUCUGGUCCUCGGAACAUCCACAUGGACAGAAUGCCUCGAUGAGGACCUAUGCCGGCCAGCACCAGCCUUACACAACCCCUCCAGACCUUUGGCGGGCUUUGUGGGCUCUCAGAGGAGUUGGCUCCAGUUCCCUUAUGUUCUCAUACCACACUCUCAGCUGUGGCGUGGUGUGAGACACAGAUAUAAUCCACGGCAAUUUGAGGAGUCCAUAGCAUUUCUCCAGAGAGAUUGCUAACGAAUGAUCUUUUUUGAUGCUGACUUUUCUGGCAAACAAGCAAGCCCUCUGAGAAGCAUGUGAAAACAUUUACCAUACAGAGCAAUCUGCCUUCUCUGCCUGAUUCAUCUUCAGAUUUUCUCAUGUAAAAGACGCUAACGAAACAACAGCUGCUUAGCCACGAGUUAGUAAAACAAGCUAUCAUAUGGCGUGGCGACUGACGGCUCUCACUUAAGGCAAUUUACAAAUUCAUGAAGGAUUUCCCUCCACCCGUUCACACUUGGUGCGGCUUUUGAAGCCUUGCUGAGAAUUUGAAGAUUAAUUUAUGUAAACAAGGAGACCCAGGUUUGCUGGAAAUUCCAUACGCUCACUACAUAUCUAAUUGGAGUUCCGUAAAAAAAAAAAAAAAAAAAAAAAAAAAAAUCUGCUCAUUAAAAAAAGCAGAGAUGGCAAACCCCAUGGAGAGGUUAUCACUGCUUUCUCACUGGACAGAAAAAUAACAGGGGGCUGGUGGUAAUUAGUAGACUGCUCGGGACACACAAAUUAUUCGCUUUCAAAAUUAGUUUCCUGCCUUUAGCUUCAGAAAGUACCCAUUCCUUCACAGAAGCUCAUUUCUUUUUCUAAAUUGAGCUUGUUUCAAUAUUAUUACUGCUGUUGUUAUUGUUAUUAUUGUUGUUGUUAUUAUUAUUAUUGACAAAGUCUCACGAAGUGAGGCUGGCCACAAAUUUUCUGUAUAGCAGAAGAUGACCGUAAACUUCUGAUCCUCCUGUCUCUACCCCUGUAUCGAGAUUACAGAUGUAUUCUAUCAUGCUUGGUUUGUGUGGUGCUGGAGACUGAAUUCCGGGCUUCUGUAUGCUAGGCAAGCACUACACCAACUGAGCCACACCCCUAACCUUGUAUGUCAUGAUUUAUAAAUUUAUUUUAUUUUAGAAACCGGAGCCUUCCCCUCCCCCACCCCCAACAUAAUCUUUUUAUUAACCAUUUGGGAAUUUCGUACAAUGUACCCUGAUCAUACUCACUCCUUAGUCCUCCCAGGUCAACCCUCCCAGCCUACCGCAGAAAAGGAGAGAAAAAAAAAAAAAAAAAAAAAAAAAAACACCAAGUCCAACAUGUGCUGCCCAUGGACUCAAUGGAGCAUUGGUCAAGCUCCCAGUGGCCAGCCCCUUAAAGAUAACUGCGUCCUUUCCCACCCCACCCCCAACUCCCACCAGAUGCCAUCAAGUGUGAAGAGCUACGUGUCAGCAUCUUUAUCACAACAUUUAAGAACUCUCUUCAUUGGCUUCCUGUCUGGACUGUUUCUUUGGGGGUUGGGGGAAGGGAGGAGGUGGUGGUGUUUGCCUGCGCUUGCUAUGAAGCCUUGGCUGUCCUGCCACUAGCCGCACGGAUCUGUCUAGCCUUGACCUCACGGCGCUCUACCUGCCUCUGCCUCCUGAACGCUGGGAUGAAAGGCAUGAAGCAUGACACCCCACCAUAUCUCAUGAUUUUUAAAGGAAAAAAAGAAAUCCAGAGAAACUGUCCUAGUAUAAAAUUCCUCCUUGGGAACCAACUGAACCCUAUGGGCUUAGUCUUUACCUGUCUUUUCCCAGCCACAAAACAAACAUCUUCGCGCUGACCUCACAAGCCUUCUGUGU